rnacentral:rRNA from 1 species
UACGUAGGGUGCAAGCGUUAAUCGGAAUUACUGGGCGUAAAGCGUGCGCAGGCGGUUAUGUAAGACCGGUGUGAAAUCCCAGGGCUUAACCUUGGAACUGCAUUUGUGACUGCAUAGCUAGAGUACGGUAGAGGGGGAUGGAAUUCCGCGUGUAGCAGUGAAAUGCGUAGAUAUGCGGAGGAACACCGAUGGCGAAGGCAAUCCCCUGGACCUGUACUGACGCUCAUGCACGAAAGCGUGGGGAGCAAACGGG